rnacentral:rRNA from 1 species
ACGUAGGGUGCAAGCGUUACUCGGAAUUACUGGGCGUCAAGCGUGCGCAGGCGGUUAUGUAAGACAGCUGUGAAAUCCCCGGGCUCAACCUGGGAACUGCAUUUGUGACUGCAUCGCUGGAGUGCGGCAGAGGGGGAUGGAAUUCCGCGUGUAGCAGUGAAAUGCGUAGAUAUGCGGAGGAACACCGAUGGCGAAGGCAAUCCCCGGGGCCUGCACUGACGCUCAUGCACGAAAGCGUGGGGAGCAAACAGG